rnacentral:rRNA from 1 species
AAAGGAAUUGACGGGACCCCGCACAAGCAGCGGCGCAUGUGGUUUAAUUCGAUGCUACACGAAGAACCUUACCUGGGCUUGACAUGUAUGUGAAAAAAGAUAGAAAUAUCUUUCCUCUAAGGUUUUACCUUAGACACAUACACAGGUGCUGCAUGGUUGUCGUCAGCUCGUGUCGUGAGAUGUAAGGUUAAGUCCUUGAACGAGCGCAACCCCUGCCCUUAGUUGCUAACAGGUAAUGCUGAGGACACUAAGGGGACUGCCGUCGACAAGACGGAGGAAGGUGGGGAUGACGUCAAAUCCUCAUGGCCUUUAUGUCCAGGGCCACACACAUGCGACAAUGGUGAGGACAAUGGGAUGCAAAAGGGUAACCUAGAGCAAAUCCUCAAAACUCACCCCAGUACCGAUUGAGGACUGCAACUCGUCCUCAUGAAGCUGGAGUUGCUAGUAACUGUGAGUCAGCUAUAUCACAGUGAAUACGUUCCCGGGGUUUGUACACACCGCCCGU